AACAUUAUCAACCUAUACAACUAAACACAACAUUAUCAACCUGCUACAACAUUAUCAACCUAUACAACUAAACACAACAUUACCAACCUGCUAAAACUCAACACAACAUUACCAACCUGCUACAACUAAAUACAACAUUAUCAACCUGCUACAACAUUAUCAACCUGUACAACUAAACACAACAUUAUCGACCUGCUACAACUAAACACAACAUUAUCGACCUGCUACAACUAAACACAACAUUACAACCUGCUACAACUAAACACAACAUUAUCGACCUGCUACAACUAAACACAACAUUAUCGACCUGCUACACAGAGAGGAACCAAGCAUAAAUGUCUUUUUCCAUUGAUUGAAAAUAGCUGUCACUGCAGGGGGAUGUUUGUAGCCAUCUUUUCAUUUUAUUUUCUCCUUCAUGUGGGAACAUCUAUAAUAUUAGACCCAUCUCUUUAUUCUCUUGAAUGACCUGUACAGACCAGGGUCUGUACCGACCCCGAGCUGGACUGAGGAGGUUUUAUACAGACCAGGGUCUGUACCGACCCCGAGCUGGACUGAGGAGGUUUUAUACAGACCAGGGUCUGUGAUCAACCAAGAUGGACUGAGGAGGUUUUAUACAGACCAGGAUCUGUACCGACCCAGAACUGAACUGAGGAGGUUUUAUACAGACCAGGGUCUGUACCGACCCAGAGCUGGACUGAGGAGGUUUUAUACAGACCAGGGUCUGUGAUCAACCAAGAUGGACUGAGGAGGUUUUAUACAGAUCAGGGUCUGUAUCGACCCCGAGCUGGACUGAGGAGGUUUUAUACAGACCAGGGUCUGGACUGAGAAGGUUUUAUACAGACCAGGGUCUGUACCGACCCAGAACUGGACUGAGGAGGUUUUAUACAGACCAGGGUCUGGACUGAGGAGGUUUUAUACAGACCAGGGUCUGUACCGACCCAGAACUGGACUGAGGAGGUUUUAUACAGACCAGGGUCUGUACCGACCCCGAGCUGCACUGAGGAGGUUUUAUACAGAACAGGGUCUGUACCGACCCCGAGCUGGACUGAGGAGGUUUUAUACAGACCAGGGUCUGUACCGAGCUGGACUGAGGAGGUUUUAUACAGACCAGGGUCUGUAUCAACCCCGAGCUGGACUGAGGAGGUUUUAUACAGACCAGGGUCUGUACCGACCCCGAGCUGGACUGAGGAGGUUUUAUACAGACCAGGGUCUGUAUCGACCCAGAGCUGGACUGAGGGGUUUUAUACAGACCAGGAGCUGGACUGAGGAGGUUUUAUACAGACCAGGGUCUGUACCGACCCAGAACUGGACUGAGGAGGUUUUAUACAGACCAGGGUCUGUACCGACCCAGAGCUGGACUGAGGAGGUUUUAUAUAGACCAGGGUCUGUGAUCAACCAAGAUGGACUGAGGAGGUUUUAUACAGACCAGGAUCUGUACCGACCCAGAACUGGACUGAGGAGGUUUUAUACAGACCAGGGUCUGUAUCGACCCAGAGCUGGACUGAGGAGGUUUUAUACAGACCAGGGUCUGUAUCGACCCAGAGCUGGACUGAGGAGGUUUUAUACAGACCAGGAUCUGUACCGAGCUGGACUGAGGAGGUUUUAUACAGACCAGGGUCUGUAUCGACCCAGAGCUGGACUGAGGGGUUUUAUACAGACCAGGGUCUGUACCGACCCAGAGCUGGACUGAGGAGGUUUUAUACAGACCAGGGUCUGUACCGAGCUGGACUGAGGAGGUUUUAUACAGACCAGGGUCUGUAUCAACCCCGAGCUGGACUGAGGAGGUUUGAUACAGACCAGGGUCUGUACCGACCCAGAGCUGGACUGAGGAGGUUUUAUACAGACCAGGGUCUGUACCGAGCUGGACUGAGGAGGUUUUAUACAGACCAGGGUCUGUACCGACCCAGAGCUGGACUGAGGAGGUUUUAUACAGACCAGGGUCUGUAUCGACCCCGAGCUGGACUGAGGAGGUUUUAUACAGACCAGGGUCUGUACCGAGCUGGACUGAGGGGUUUUAUACAGACCAGGGUCUGUACCGAGCUGGACUGAGGAGGUUUUAUACAGACCAGGGUCUGUACCGACCCAGAGCUGGACUGAGGAGGUUUUAUACCUGGUCUGUGUUCAACCAAGAUGGAAGAGGAACGACUCAAACAUCCGAAUCUUAGUGCCAAGGUUACCGUGGAAACAGAGGAGGGGAACUGAUUUGUCUAAGUAACUAAUAUUAAAACAUUAAAAAAAUAAGUGUUAUGUAAAGUUGUUAUUGUCUAUUUGUUGGAGCGUAAACAGAGAAACACCAGAUGGGACGAUGUGCGUUGUUGUCCUGUCAGGAGUGGAUUGAUUGAUUGAUUGAUUGAUUGAUUGAUUGAUUGAUUGAUUGAUUGAUUGAACUCUGGCUCCAAAGGUAAGGUAGGAGCAGAUGGUAGGGCGAGGCCUCUUCCUAUUGGAGGACCAACAGCCUAUUAUCUAUCAGUCCCACUACCACCCAGUACACCAACUACCCUGUAGAACCAUCAGUCCCACUACCACCCAGUACACCGACUACCCUGUAGAACCCAGCCUAGUACCCAUCAGUCCCACUACCACCCAGUACACUGACUACCCUGUAGAACCCAG
rnacentral:lncRNA from 1 species